rnacentral:misc_RNA from 1 species
UCACGCCCGAAGUCGUUACCCCAACCGUAAGGGGGGGGAUGCCUAAGGUAGGACUGAUGACUGGGGUGAAGUCGUAACAAGGUAGCCGUACCGGAAGGUGUGGCUGGAUCACCUCCUUUUAGGGAGACUUAAUCCAUUUAGAAAUCGAAAACAAUGAAAAUUGUCAAUAGAAACUAAAGUGGUCUAACCUAGGUCGUUCGAGAUUGGUAGAUAUCUUUCAAAGUAUUAUUCGGCUUCGUUCAAAACCAUAUAUAAAUGGAAAAAGACAGCACCUAAUUGUCAAAGUUAGACUGCUGGAUGAAAUUCCAGCCAGAACCUUGAAAACUGCAUAAGAGAACGAGGAAAAGCAGGCAGACACAGACAUUUAGAUGGAUGUGGAAGCAAAGAAAAAUUGUGGUCAAGCUAAUAAGGGCUAAUGGUGGAUACCUAGGCACACAGAGGAAGGGC